GACGAACGCUGGCGGCGUGCUUAAUACAUGCAAGUCAACUGAACUUAAAGUAGCAAUAUUUUGAGGGAGGUGGCGCACGGGUGAGUAACACGUAGGUAAUCUGCCUUUAGGUCUGACAUAAUUCCGCGAAAGCGGGACUAAUAUCAGAUGAUGCAGCGGCUCGACAUCGAGACAGUUGUUAAACCUUCGGGCCGUAAAGAAUGAGCCUGCGUCUGAUUAGGUAGNGGUCGGAGGUAAAGACCCACCAACGACCUGCGAUCAGUAGCUGGUCUGAGAGGAUGAUCAGCC
rnacentral:rRNA from 1 species